rnacentral:rRNA from 1 species
UACGUAGGGUGCAAGCGUUAAUCGGAAUACUGGGCGUAAAGCGUGCGCAGGCGGUUUUGUAAGUCUGUCGUGGAAUCCCCGGGCUCAACCUGGGAAUUGCGAUGGAGACUGCAAGGCUAGAAUCUGGCAGAGGGGGGUAGAAUUCCACGUGUAGCAGUGAAAUGCGUAGAGAUGUGGAGGAACACCGAUGGCGAAGGCAGCCCCCUGGGUCAAGAUUGACGCUCAUGCCACGAAAGCG